AACGAACGCUGGCGGCAGGCUCAACACAUGCAAGUCGAGCGCCCCGCAAGGGGAGCGGCAGACGGGUGAGUAACGCGUGGGAAUCUACCCAUCUCUACGGAGUAACGCAUGGAAACGUGUGCUAAUACCGUAUACGUCCUUCGGGAGAAAGAUUUAUCGGAGAUGGAUGAGCCCGCGUUGGAUUAGCUAGUUGGUGGGGUAAAGGCCUACCAAGGCGACGAUCCAUAGCUGGUCUGAGAGGAUGAUCAGCCACACUGGGACUGAGACACGGCCCAGACUCCUACGGGAGGCAGCAGUGGGGAAUAUUGGACAAUGGGCGCAAGCCUGAUCCAGCCAUGCCGCGUGAGUGAUGAAGGCCCUAGGGUUGUAAAGCUCUUUCACCGGUGAAGAUAAUGACGGUAACCGGAGAAGAAGCCCCGGCUAGCUUCGUGCCAGCCGCCGCCGUAACAC
rnacentral:rRNA from 1 species